AACUUCAAAAAUAGCAAAAACGUGGCCGGAGUUUCACUCCGCGUUUUGAAACUGUGGCCCCCGUUAAGUCUACCCUAACGGAGUUAACGGAGGGAGGGUAUUUCAGGGUUUUUUUUAAUUUGUAACGGUAAAAUCUGUGUGUAUAUAUAAUCUGUGUGUAUAUACAACGGCUGUAUUUCAUUCUAACCCUAGAUAAUCUCCUCCUCUUUCUUUUGCAAGCCCUAAUCCCCAAUAAGCUCCUUCUCUUUCUUGUGUAAGCCAUGAGUUUUUGCUAUUGUGGGAAAUUGGCAGCUGAUAGAGUCGCGUGGACUGACGCCAAUGCUGGGCGGAGAUUCAAGAACUGUGUGGAUGGUAGCAGUGGUUGCAGGUAUUUCCAAUGGGUUGACGGACCCCUUUGUAGUCGAGCACAAAUAGUAAUUCCAGGCCUUUUGAGGAAUAUGAGAGGAAUGGAAUCCAAGUAUGAGCAGCAAAUUGUUGAAGUGCAGAAGAGAGAAGCUCGAAAAUGGAGGUUUCGUGUAGUUGUAGUGUGUUUAUUUUGGUUUGUUGUGUAUGUUUUAAGUGGUAGUGACAAGCAGUAAAUGGUGAUAGGUGUGGCUGUGUAGUUGGGAAGUAAUGAAUUAUGUAAUGUUGUUAGAAUGUUGUUAGAAUGUA
rnacentral:lncRNA from 1 species